UAUCUCCAGGUAGAAGGAUUGCAGGUGAUUUUUAUUUUAUUCUUUUUGCUUAUGUCAAUUUUCUAAUUUUAUUUCAGAUAAGCACACAUUAUUUGUGUAAUAGUAAAGCCGUGUUAUUAAAGAGAAGAAUUACCCAAAGAGACUCAGAUAUGGGAGUCCUGGCCUCCGCAGCUCUGGUCUCUGCAGCUGCUCCAGUGGUACAGUGCUGUGAUUAUAGCUCACUGUGGCCUCCAACUCCUGGGUUCAAGCAAUCCUCCUGCCUGGUUACAAUAAUUUUUUAAAAUUUUAUUUUUUGUAGAGAUAGGGCUCAAUGCGUUGUCCAGGCUGGUCUCAAACUCCUGGGCUCAAGCAAUCCUCCUGCCUCUGCCUCCCAUAGUUCUGGGGCUGCAGAUGUGAGUCACUGUGCCUGGCCCAUGCCUCCUUUAUAAGGGCAGGGGGAUCAUAGCUCUUCCACACCUUAGGUCUUCAGACUACUGCUGGGCUAUAGUCGUCAUCUUAUUUAUUUAUUUAUUUAUCUUGAGACAGAGUUUCACUCUGCUGCCCAGCCUGGAGUGCAGUGACAUCACCACAGCUUACUGCCGCCUCUACAUUCUAGGCCCAGCCGUCUUCCCACCCCAGCCUCCUGAGUAGCUGGGACCACAGUUGUACACUAUCACUCCCAGCUAAUUGAAAAAAAAACUUUUUUGGUAGAGAUGGAGUCUUGCUAUUUUGCCCAGUCUGGUCUCAAACUCCUGGGCUCAAGGGAUCCUCCUGCCUUGGCCUCCCCAAAGUGCUAGGAUUACAGGCAUGAGCCACGGUGCCUGACUACUAUCAUUGUUUUUAAGCAGAUUUAUUGAGGUAUAAUUUGUAUACCAUGAAAUUUCCUGAGUUUUAGGCAUUCAAUUCGGUGAUUCUCAAGACAUGUGCAGAGUUCUGCAGCCAUCACCACCAUUGUGUGGCUGUGGAGCGUCUCUAUCAUCCAGGAAGCUCCCUCCUGCUCACUUACAUUCCCUCCAUGCUCCCACUUCCAGCCCCAGGCAACUGCUAAUCAGUCUCUACAGCUGGGGUUUUUUGGACACUUCAUAUGAGCAGAAUCAUAGAGCAGGCAUCUUUUGCACCUGGCUUCUUUCACUUAAUGCUUUUCAGGGUCAUCCGUCUUGCACCAUGUAUCACUACUUUGUUCAUUUUGUGUUAAAAAUAGCAUUCCAUUGCACUGUGUGAAUACAUCAGACAGUGUUAUCCGCUCUUCAGUUGAAGGACAUUUGAAUUGUUUCUACUUUUUGGCUAUUGUACAUAGUGCUGCUAUUUGGCUAUUGUACACUGUGUACACAGUGACACAGAUGCAUGUGUCUUAUGUGGACGUAUGUUUUUAUGUCUCUUCAAUUCCUAGGAGUAGAAUUGCUGAGUCUCAUAGUACAUAUAUGUUUCGCUUAAAAAAAAAACAAACUGCCAACCUAUUUUCCAAAGUGGUUGCACCAUUUGACAUUCCUAUCAGCCACGUCUAAGGAUUCCAGUUUCUCCAUAUCCUCAUCAACACUAGUCAUAUUCCUUAUAACCAUCCUAGAGGGUGCACGGUGGUAUUUCAAUCUGCAUUUACAUUG
rnacentral:lncRNA from 1 species